rnacentral:rRNA from 1 species
AGUGAACGCUGGCGGUAGGCCUAACACAUGCAAGUCGAACGGCAGCACAGUAAGAGCUUGCUCUUACGGGUGGCGAGUGGCGGACGGGUGAGGAAUACAUCGGAAUCUACUUUUUCGUGGGGGAUAACGUAGGGAAACUUACGCUAAUACCGCAUACGACCUACGGGUGAAAGCAGGGGAUCUUCGGACCUUGCGCGAUUGAAUGAGCCGAUGUCGGAUUAGCUAGUUGGCGGGGUAAAGGCCCACCAAGGCGACGAUCCGUAGCUGGUCUGAGAGGAUGAUCAGCCACACUUGAACUGAGACACGGUCCAGACUCCUACGGGAGGCAGCAGUGGGGAAUAUUGGACGAUGGGCGCAAGCCUGAUCCAGCCAUACCGCGUGGGUGAAGAAGGCCUUCGGGUUGUAAAGCCCUUUUGUUGGGAAAGAAAAGCAGCAGGUUAAUACCCCGCUGUUCUGACGGUACCCAAAGAAUAGGCACCGGCUAACUUCGUG